rnacentral:rRNA from 1 species
CACCAUCUAAAAGCGUCAAAAGCUAACNCNACCCCCUACCACCAAUUCCUCCACCCUCCCCCCAACCCUUAACCCAUAUUAAGUACUCCUAUGCCUCCAUAGAAAUUUUUAUGUUAAAACUAGUAACAUGAAACCACCUUCUCCUAAUGCAAACAUAAAUCAGACAGAAACCCGCACUGAUGAUUAACAACCCAAAGCAGCAACCUCGCAAGAAAACCCUGCCCCCAACCCUUGUUAACCUAACACAAGAGCAUUUCAAGAAGAUUAAAAGAAAGAGAAGGAACUCGGCAAAUAAUGAUCUCGCCUGUUUACCAAAAACAUCGCCUCUUGCACCCAUAAGAGGUCCAGCCUGCCCAGUGACUCUGUUCAACGGCCGCGGUACUCUGACCGCGCGAAGGUAGCGUAAUCACUUGUUUUUUAAAUGAAGACUAGUAUGAAAGGCACCACGAAAAUCAAACUGUCUCCUCUUUCCAAUCAGUGAAACUAAUCUCCCCGUGAAGAAGCGGGGAUUUCUAUAUAAGACGCGAAGACCCUACGGAGCUUCAAACUAACUGGCACUUGCCCAUUCUUUAACCUCGCAAGAAACUCACCCAAGCAUCUCUGCCCGCAAGUUUUAGGUUGGGGCGACCACGGAGAAUAAACAACCCUCCAUGCAGACACAGAACUAUUUCUAAAUGAAAACCAACAGGUUUCAGAUCAACA